CAUUUUAUAAACAUGAAAACAAAAUAAAAAGAGUGUGUAGAUAAGUGUGCUUUUAUUUUAUCUGUUAAGUGCAAAUCUCUAGAAAAAACAAAAAGAUCAAAAAGAUGCAUGAUGGAAAUAAUGAACAGUUGCUCUGUUUGCUUACUUUUAAGUACCUAGCUUUUAUAUUAGAGUUCUUCCAGGAAUUACUAAAACUAAAAUUACUAUCUCUGGGAAGCAUAAAACUAAAGUCUAGGUAAGAGAAAGGCAUGAUAUAGAGUUGAGCUGUUGUUUAUCUUGUUCCUACUACACUAAGUUCUGGAGAUUUAUUUUGAAAACUUGCAAAUCACAUGAUGAGUUCCUAGCAUACAAAACUACCUACCACAGCCAUCCUUGAUAUAACAUCUUUUACUAUAUUUACAUUGAGUUUGAUCGAGCUGUGUAUACCCUUAGGAGCUUUUCAUAUGGUUAAAUUAAGAUAUUCACUUGCACACAUCUACUACACCAUCCAUCACCAUUCAUUAAAAUUGCUAAAAAUAUUAUCACUCACUGUCCCAAAUAUUGUUAUUUUCUCUCUCUAAAAAGAUUCAAUGCAGAAGAGGCAUGGGUUAUGCAAAAAAUAUGCGAGGAAAUAAAAAGGGACAAGUGCCCGGAACCUCAAAAAAGAAAGAAAAAAAGUGAGACGAGAGGUAAAAAUGGACAAGUGUCCGAUGUAGAAUUAGGGGUACAAAGAUGCCCACUUGAGCGAAAAAAAUGGACAAGUGUCCGACAGUAGAAUUAGGGGUAUCUACUACCCACCUGAAAAAAAAAGAGAGAAAAAGAGAUAGCCCAUGUUCUCCCAAAGCAAAGAUCAAAGAAGAGGAGAGAUAGCAAUAUGAGGAGCAAUGAGAAGUAAGUUUUAUUAUUACUUAUACAUUUUUACCAUCACUAUCAUUUACUCCAUCACACAUGCACAUCUUGAUUUAAUUAUAUGCUGAGUUCCUUUGGAUCCAUGGCUCGAUUAGACAAAGUAUGUAUGAGCUGUUUUUCACUCCUAUGAGCUCCACUUAAAUAUUUCAUUAGCUAUAGGUAAGUGACAUUAUGGUAAGGAUCCACAAAUACCACAUAUAGAGAGACUUGAGAGAUUAUUGCUGGGAACUCUGAGCUUUAUUUUGAAAACUUAUGAAAAACUCUGGAACAAAGGUGAAGUAUAGAC
rnacentral:lncRNA from 1 species